rnacentral:sRNA from 1 species
UAGCUGUUGAGUCUCGUUCAGAAGUGAA